GAUGAACGCUGGCGGCGUGCUUAACACAUGCAAGUCGAACGAAGCACCUCUCCCGAAGAUUGACCCAGCUUGCUGUGGAUUGAUUCAUUUGAGGUGACUGAGUGGCGGACGGGUGAGUAACGCGUGGGUAACCUGCCUCAUAGAGGGGGACAACAGUUGGAAACGACUGCUAAUACCGCAUAGUAAGAAGAAUUCGCAUGUUUUCUUCUUGAAAGAUUUAUCGCUAUGAGAUGGACCCGCGUCUGAUUAGCUAGUUGGUAAGGUAACGGCUUACCAAGGCGACGAUCAGUAGCCGGCUUGAGAGAGUGAACGGCCACAUUGGGACUGAGACACGGCCCAAACUCCUACGGGAGGCAGCAGUGGGGAAUAUUGCACAAUGGGGGAAACCCUGAUGCAGCGACGCCGCGUGAGUGAAGAAGUAUUUCGGUAUGUAAAGCCCUAUCAGCAGGGAAGAUAAUGACGGUACCUGACUAAGAAGCCCCGGCUAACUACGUG
rnacentral:rRNA from 1 species